GUUGGGAAUUCUGGAAGUUUGGCUGGAUCACAUUAUGGACCUCUGAUAGACCUUCAUGAUAUUGUAAUAAGGUGAUUUAUCAACACAGCAAUAUCUACAAAGAUCACAAGAAUGAUUGUUGUGAUUUAUGAUCAAAAUUAUAUUUCCUAUUUAAUUUAGAAUGAACGGAGGCAGAACGAAAGGUUUUGAAGCACAUGUGGGGACCAAAACAACUCAUCACGCAAUGUAUCCAGAAAGUGCUAUCAAUUUGGAUAACACCACUCAUCUUGUGUUUCUUCCAUUCAAAAUGAAAGAUUUGGAGUGGCUUCUUAACAAAUUUAAUCCAGA